rnacentral:rRNA from 1 species
UACGAGGGGGGCAAAUGUUGUUCGGAAUCACUGGGCGUAAAGGGAGCGUAGGCGGGCUUCUAAGUUAGGUGUUUAAUCCCGGGGCCCAACCCCGGUCGUGCACUUAAAACUGGAGGUCUUGAAUAGUGGAGAGGUCAGUGGAAUUGGGGGUGUAGCGGUGGAAUGCGUAGAGAUCCCCAAGAACACCAGUUGCGAAGGCGGCUGACUGGACACAUAUUGACGCUGAGGCUCGAAAGCAUGGGGAGCAAACAGG